CUUGGACUCUUCCUCAGCAAACCGGGGGUGCCCUCAUGGCCCGGAACUUCAGGGACCAAGGGCUCGGUCUCACAAGGUCACGGGGAAACCUAAACUUCUCCUAGUCUCUUCUGAUCAUAUCCUUUUCCAAUCUGAUGAGAGGCCCAAAGCCUCUUUGAUCACCUUGUACCAGAUGCCUCUCAAAGUACAUUUGAUCUGGAUGGAACGGGAGAGCAGCAGUCCAAUUUAAUACUGAAUUUGGUGACUGAGGAAAGCCACGUAUUAAAAACAAUAACAAUAAUAAUUUGUUGCUGAAUCGUAAUUUCCAAGCGCUUAGGAUGGUGUUCUG